AGUGAACGCUGGCGGUAGGCCUAACACAUGCAAGUCGAACGGCAGCACAGUAAGAGCUUGCUCUUACGGGUGGCGAGUGGCGGACGGGUGAGGAAUACAUCGGAAUCUACUUUUUCGUGGGGGAUAACGUAGGGAAACUUACGCUAAUACCGCAUACGACCUACGGGUGAAAGCAGGGGAUCUUCGGACCUUGCGCGAUUGAAUGAGCCGAUGUCGGAUUAGCUAGUUGGCGGGGUAAAGGCCCACCAAGGCGACGAUCCGUAGCUGGUCUGAGAGGAUGAUCAGCCACACUGGAACUGAGACACGGUCCAGACUCCUACGGGAGGCAGCAGUGGGGAAUAUUGGACAAUGGGCGCAAGCCUGAUCCAGCCAUACCGCGUGGGUGAAGAAGGCCUGCGGGUUGUAAAGCCCUUUUGUUGGGAAAGAAAAGCAGCAGGUUAAGACCCCGCUGUUCGGACGGUACCCAAAGAAUAAGCACCGGCGAACUUCGU
rnacentral:rRNA from 1 species